rnacentral:siRNA from 1 species
AUGGUGAGUCGAUUUGGCCGA